GAUGAACGCUGGCGGCGUGCCUAAUACAUGCAAGUCGAGCGAACAGACGAGGAGCUUGCUCCUCUGACGUUAGCGGCGGACGGGUGAGUAACACGUGGAUAACCUACCUAUAAGACUGGGAUAACUUCGGGAAACCGGAGCUAAUACCGGAUAAUAUAUUGAACCGCAUGGUUCAAUAGUGAAAGACGGUUUUGCUGUCACUUAUAGAUGGAUCCGCGCCGCAUUAGCUAGUUGGUAAGGUAACGGCUUACCAAGGCGACGAUGCGUAGCCGACCUGAGAGGGUGAUCGGCCACACUGGAACUGAGACAUGGUCCAGACUCCUACGGGAGGCAGGAGUAGGGAAUCUUCCGCAAUGGGCGAAAGCCUGACGGAGCAACGCCGCGUGAGUGAUGAAGGUCUUCGGAUCGUAAAACUCUGUUAUUAGGGAAGAACAAAUGUGUAAGUAACUAUGCACGUCUUGACGGUACCUAAUCAGAAAGCCACGGCUAACUACGUG
rnacentral:rRNA from 1 species